UGCCAGCCGCCGCGGUAAGACGGAGGGUGCUAGCGUUAUUCGGAAUGACUGGGCGUAAAGGGCGUGUAGGCGGUUAUAUAAGUUAGACGUGAAAGCCCCGGGCUUAACCUGGGAACAGCGUUUAAUACUGUAUGACUAGAGACCGAGAGAGGAAAGCGGAAUUCCUAGUGUAGAGGUGAAAUUCGUAGAUAUUAGGAAGAACACCAGUGGCGAAGGCGGCUCACUGGUCCGAUACUGACGCUGAGGUGCGAAAGCGUGGGGAGCAAACAGGAUUAGAUA
rnacentral:rRNA from 1 species